rnacentral:rRNA from 1 species
GACGAACGCUGGCGGCGUGCUUAACACAUGCAAGUCGAACGGAAAGGCCCCUUUGGGGGUCCUCGAGUGGCGAACGGGUGAGUAACACGUGAGUAACCUGCCCUUGACUUCGGGAUAACUUCAGGAAACUGGGGCUAAUACCGGAUAGGAAUCCUUGCUGCAUGGUGGGGGUUGGAAAGCUUCGGCGGUUUUGGAUGGACUCGCGGCUUAUCAGCUUGUUGGUGGGGUAGUGGCUUACCAAGGCUUUGACGGGUAGCCGGCCUGAGAGGGCGACCGGCCACAUUGGGACUGAGAUACGGCCCAGACUCCUACGGGAGGCAGCAGUGGGGAAUAUUGCACAAGGGGCGGAAGCCUGAUGCAGCAACGCCGCGUGCGGGAUGACGGCCUUCGGGUUGGAAACCGCUUUCAGCAGGGGCGAAGCUUGUGGUGACGGUACCUGCAGAAGAAGCACCGGCUAACUACGUG